ensembl:lncRNA
CAUGGAUGCUCAAAGCUGUGAGUUAAGCGCCAAAACUUUGGCUGUCCUAAAACUCUUCAUUCAGUCCUCAUGUUGAGUGUUUAGAGUUAUAACAAUCACAAUGGACAAGACCAUGGGACGGAAAUGAAAAAAGAAGAAAGAAAGAGAAGUUGGGAAGAAAGUUAACAGAAACACCGCUUCAGUCCCUGCUGGGGGGGGAAAAAAAACAACCAACACAGCAGAAAAACCACAGAAACAACUGACAUAUGCAUUAACAGUAAAUAAUUAAUUUAGCUAACAGUAAAUAACAAAUAUUAAAUGUUAUUAAACAGCACACAGUGCUAAUAAUACAAUAUAUGUUUGGAGGCAGUCAAUCAAGAUAGAGUGUGAUAGUGUAUGUUUGUACAUUUGUGCGUGGGAUUGUGCUUGUCUUCCAUGAUUUCUCCAUGUAAGUAUCUAAUAAUGUGUAUGUAUUAAUUAGGACCUUAGGGGCACUUCUCUUCUGGCGACCUGCAGCAGGCAUUUUUUUGUGUUUUCUAACUUAGUUUUUAACCAAAUUUUUAACUUUGUGAGGGAACGGAUUGCUUCCCUGAUUUGUUUCUCAUGCCUGGUCAAGAACAAACUUUGAAAAGCCUUGAGGUUUCAAGGAAACAUGGGAAGAAAGGCAGUGCAUGUCAGCGUCUAAGAAAACCUUGGAGGAAGAGUCGUGUUACUCUGCCUUCUAUGAUUCUGACUACCACUUCCCCAUCAUUUUUUAUUGAUGAGAGAGGGGCAGCUAAUCUCUUUAGACACACUAAGAUUAAGAGUCCUGGACCUCACAACAUUUCUGGGCAGUUACUGAAAACUUGUGCUGAUCAGUCGAGUGGGAUUUUUCCAUCAUAUUUUUUCACUUUCUCUAGAGUUACAGACAGUAUCUAAGAUUAGAAAACAGGCUGUCAUUGUUCCAGGUAAGGUACUGAAUAAUUUUAUUUCUUGAUCCUAGUUUGAUCAGUUGGCUUUUUGACAAAUAGGUCGCAAUGCGUAAAAGUGAACAGUGUUCUUUCUGAUGUACUCUCCUCUCCUCCCCAGGGCUGCUCAUCUCCUAUUAAAGCUGCUGAUAUUGAGAUUGUAGAGAGUUACAAGUAUUCAGGGGUUGUUCUUGACCACAAACUGUGUUUUGAGCCUCGUGUUGAUACCAUUACCAAAAAAGUUCAGCAAAGACUGUUCUUUUUAAGGAAAAUUAGGUCUUUUAAAGAACGUUUUAUUGAAUCUAUUAUUUCUUUCUGUAUCGCUGCUUGGUUUGGUAACAUGACUCUGAAGAACAUGAAUCAGUUGGGACUUUUUUGUAAAAACUGCCAGUAAAAUCUCAGGGUGUUGGCAAGAUGGGCUUUCUGCCAUUUAUAACAAGCAUGAGCUGAGGAAGGCUCAUUUUAUUGUUAAUUGUUUUAACCGUCCACUUCACGGUGAGUUUGACUUGUUGCCCUCUGGCCGUUGUUUUAGAGUACCUGUGAGGAAAACAAAAAGACUCCAGGUUUCUUUUAUCCCUACUGCAACUCGUCCCCUUAAUUGCAAAUAAAUGUCUUGUGGCUUUUUAUUAGCAUUUUGUUUAUUCCUAUUGCUGCCCUUGCUGCUAAACUAAUUUCCCCUUGUGGGGCAAUAAAGAAUUGAAUUGAAUUGAAUUGAGAGAGUAUGUUUUAACCAUCCUGAGAUGUAUUGUACUCUGUUAGCU